GACGAACGCUGGUGGCAGGCCUAACACAUGCAAGUCGAACGAGUGGCGGACGGGUGAGUAAUGUCUGGGAAACUGCCUGAUGUAGGGGGAUAACUACUGGAAACUGUAGCUAAUACCGCAUACCACCAAAUUUGCCCGGAUGGGAUUAGCUUGGUGGUGGGGUAACGGCUCACAAAGGCGACGAUCCCUUACUGGUCGGAGAGGAUGACAAGCCACACUGGAACUGAGACACGGUCCAGACUCCUACGGGAGGCAGCAGUGGGGAAUAUUGGACAAUGGGCGAAAGCCUGAUGCAGCCAUGCCGCGUGUGUGAAGAAGGACUUCGGGUUGUAAAGUACUUUCAGAGGGGAGGCGUUACCAGCAGAAGAAGCACCGGCUAACUCCGUGCCAGCAGCCGCGGUAAUUC
rnacentral:rRNA from 1 species